rnacentral:rRNA from 1 species
GACGAACGCUGGCGGCGUGCUUAACACAUGCAAGUCGAACGGAAAGGCCCCUUUGGGGGUACUCGAGUGGCGAACGGGUGAGUAACACGUGAGUAACCUGCCCUUGACUUCGGGAUAACUUCAGGAAACUGGGGCUAAUACCGGAUAGGAAUCCUUGCUGCAUGGUGGGGGUUGGAAAGCUUCGGCGGUUUUGGAUGGACUCGCGGCUUAUCAGCUUGUUGGUGGGGUAGUGGCUUACCAAGGCUUUGACGGGUAGCCGGCCUGAGAGGGCGACCGGCCACACUGGGACUGAGAGAAGGCACAGACUCCUACGGGAGGAAGAAGGGGGGAAUAUUGAACAAUGGGCGGCAGCCGGAUGCAGAAACGCCGCGGGCGGGAUGACGGCCUUCGGGUUGUAAACCGCUUUCAGCAGGGGCGAAGCUUGUGGUGACGGUACCUGCAGAAGAAGCACCGGCUAACUACGUG